rfam:Euryarchaeota archaeon HMET1 HMET1_1, whole genome shotgun sequence.
GCUCCGAUAGUGUAGUCCGGCCAAUCAUUUGGGCCUCUCGAGCCCAGGACCGGGGUUCAAAUCCCCGUCGGAGCA